rnacentral:miRNA from 1 species
UCCAACUUGAGGCCCGAUUGA